rnacentral:tRNA from 1 species
GUAGAUUUAGGAUCUAUGAUUAUGGGUUCGAGUCCUUUUCUUAGUUGUUGUGGAUUCUAAGGCUUAAACUUA